AAUUGUGCGCAAUGGACGAAAGUCUGACGCCGCGACACCGCGUGCAGGAUGAAGGUCUUAGGAUCGUAAACUGCUUUUAUAGAGGAGCAAGUUCUGAGAGUACUCUAUGAAUAAGUGCCUGCUAACCACGUGCCAGAAGCAUCGGUAAUGCGUGGGGCACGAGCGUUAUCCGGAAUUACUGGGCGUAAAGAGAGCGUAGGCGUCCCAAAAAGUUUCGUGUUAAAUCUUUCGGCUCAACCGAAAAAUCGCAUGGAAAACUUUUGGGAUUGAGUUAGGUAGGGAAAGGGGGAAUUCCUGGUGGAGCGGUUAAAUGCGUUGAUAUCAGGAGGAACACCAAUGGCGAAGGCACCCUUUUGGACCUAUACUGACGCUGAGGCUCGAAAGCGUGGGGAGCAAAA
rnacentral:rRNA from 1 species